AGUGAACGCUGGCGGUAGGCCUAACACAUGCCAGUCGAACGGCAGCACAGUAAGAGCUUGCUCUUACGGGUGGCGAGUGGCGGACGGGUGAGGAAUACAUCGGAAUCUACUUUUUCGUGGGGGAUAACGUAGGGAAACUUACGCUAAUACCGCAUACGACCUACGGGUGAAAGCAGGGGAUCUUCGGACCUUGCGCGAUUGAAUGAGCCGAUGUCGGAGUAGCUAGUUGGCGGGGUAAAGGCCCACCAAGGCGACGAUCCGUAGCUGGUCUGAGAGGAUGAUCAGCCACACUGGAACUGAGACACGUUCCAGACUCCUACGGGAGGCAGCAGUGGGGAAUAUUGGACAAUGGGCGCAAGCCUGAUCCAGCCAUACCGCGUGGGUGAAGAAGGCCUUCGGGUUGUAAAGCCCUUUUGUUGGGAAAGAAAAGCAGCAGGUUAAUACCCCGCUGUUCUGACGGUACCCAAAGAAUAAGCACCGGCUAACUUCGUG
rnacentral:rRNA from 1 species